AGCAAAUAUCUGACAAGUCCAGGGGUUAUUAAGUAAUUGCGUGAUCCAUUCCAUCCAUCUUCUCAUAAAAGUAAAACAGAAACACUUCGUUCCACAGCGGCAACAACAAAAGAAAAAAUCCCGUUCCGCAACAAAAACAACCCCUGUCCUUUCUCUUCCGCCUCUCAUUUCCUUCUUUUAUUUCCCCGAUUCUUCCCGUCGUCGCCUUCGACUAAUUGAUUUCACGUUCCGGCCCGGUUUCUAGGGCUUCGACUAGUGGGAUCAGAGGAGACCGGCAUGGACUGGGGACGACGUGAAGGUGGAGGACCCGUACUCUUCCCCGCGCCCCAUUCGGAAUUCUUCUCCCGAUUCACCUUCCCCAGAUCUUACGCCAAAUGGAGCAGCCCAAUCAAGUGCAAUCUCUACUACUUUGCAGUUACUUUUGAUGAGAAAAUGAAAAGGACUGUCAAACGCUUUUCUCCUCAUUAGCUGCAAAGUUGAGGCCACCAAUAGCGGGAGCUCUCGGUCUGGCUUUGACACUAUUUAUCUGUAUUGUGGGUGUCAACUAGCUAAUGGAACAUAUAUACAUAGACCUGUUCUUCGUGGGCGACCGUCUACAAUAAGAGCAAUCCGUAUUUGUGGACAGCCUUGAUGGAUGUUUGUCUUGAUUUUCUCAGCUGCUAGUUGCAUCCUCUGGUUGACCACCUCCAAUCUGGUUGCUGUGCUUUGGGCACUCGUCGACGGACUGCUUGCAACUACACUUAACGCAACCUUCCAAAUGCCUAACCUGAAGGCAUGGCUUAACACAUGAUGUGAGGAACUUGGUGCAAUAUGGCGCAACUAUAGUGUGUUACAACCACAGAGGUCGAUAAGGAGUAAGUUCUUCAAAAGUUUGAUGUUCUAUUCUCUUCUGUGCAUAUUAUUUAGAAUGAGAUACUGCCGGAAGUAGAGUAGCCAAAAACUCUUCCGUGUUUCUUUAGCAUUUCAUCAUCUUUUCUCUCUCUAAUCUACUAUGAAGAUGCUUGAUGUUUUUUUUUCUUUUGGUAUGCAUUAAUAUAUGUAGAAAACAUUUACCAUAUCUGUAGGUUGUUUGACAUGUAUUCUUUAAGAGUUUUGUAUGCUUAGUUACGGAGGAAUUAUGGGUUGAGGGUUUUAGUGGUAGAAGAAAUCAAUUUGAUUUUGUCUCUUUCCCUUCCUAAUAAUCUUGACAAAAUCUUUAUCUAAAAUCCUUGUGGAGUUCUUUUUUAUUGUGGUGGUCAUAGAACAAAGCUUCCAAUCUACGUUUAACAUUAACAUAGUACUUCAUAGAUCCCCGGAAAACCAGGGAUAAACUGACGUCCCCAAAGGAAUAGGUCAAAGUAACUAACUGACUCUCGUUUUCUUUGCUGACUAUAUAACUGAUUUAUUUAUCUGCAUCAACAACAAAACUAAGUUAGAACACAAUAGUUUGGCAAUUUUAGCCCAAAAGGAAUAGGAUGGAUAAACAACCCUGCCAUGGUAGUUCGCUGCUUUUGAUGAAACUUUCUUGGGUAGUAAACCUGUUUGCUAAAUCAUGUUUCAUUGGUCUUCCUCAAGUGAUCAUAGGAAAUAACUAGAGAAUCAUCCGAAUCCAAUUCCCAUGUAGAAAGCUACAAGAGAGCAACUUAACCUAAUUCAACAAACAAUGCAUAUUAAUUCAAAUCUUCAAGCUCUUAGCAGAAACAUACGGCAGCCAUGUGUAGGAAACUUGCAGUUGAGUCAGCUAUAGGGAUGACUGGAUUCAGGAAAUGUUGUUGACCAUGUCACUGCUACCUAUCCUUGAUUUGUGGCGGAAAAUGAGCCGUGGUGGUUGCGAUUUUGCUAACCAUAGGUGUGCUUACAGUAACUUAAAAGAUUGUGGUUCAAGAUCUACCAAAGAAC